AAGGAUCAUUACCGAGAGGGGCCCUGGGUCCCAGGGGGCUGCGUCCCCCGCCUCUCCACCCGUGAACAAUCUACCUUUCCGUUGCUUUGGCGGGACCUUUGGGGUAGCACCCACGGCCGGCUCGCCCGGGAGCGCCCGUCCAUCGCCCCUUAAAACUCGAUUUUCUUGAGACGUCCGAGUGAUACCAAAUCAAAACAAAACUUUCAACAACGGAUCUCUUGGUUCCGGCAUCGAUGAAGAACGCAGCGAAAUGCGAUAAAUAAUGUGAAUUGCAGAAUUCAGUGAAUCAUCGAAUCUUUGAACGCACAUUGCGCCCCUCGGCACCCCGGGGGGCAUGCCUGUUCGAGCGUCAUUGCACCCCUCAAGCGUAGCUUGGUCUUGGGUUUUCGUCCCCUGGGCGGACCUCAAAAGUAGUAACGGCCCGGAGUGGUUUCUAAGCGAAGUAACUUUUAUCACCCGCUUCGGAAUCUCACCGUGGUCCUGUUUGGAACACCAACCAAUCAAUGAUUGACCUCGGAUCAGGUAGGGAUACCCGCUGAACUUAA
rnacentral:rRNA from 1 species